rnacentral:rRNA from 1 species
GACGAACGCUGGCGGCGUGCCUAAUACAUGCAAGUAGAACGCACAGUUUAUACCGUAGCUUGCUACACCAUAAACUGUGAGUUGCGAACGGGUGAGUAACGCGUAGGUAACCUGCCUGGUAGCGGGGGAUAACUAUUGGAAACGAUAGCUAAUACCGCAUAAUAUUGAUUAUUGCAUGAUAAUUGAUUGAAAGAUGCUAUUGCAUCACUACCAGAUGGACCUGCGUUGUAUUAGCUAGUAGGUGAGGUAACGGCUCACCUAGGCGACGAUACAUAGCCGACCUGAGAGGGUGGUCGGCCACACUGGGACUGGGACACGGCCCAGACUCCUACGGGAGGCAGCAGUAGGGAAUCUUCGGCAAUGGACGAAAGUCUGGCCGAGCAACGCCGCGUGAGUGAAGAAGGUUUUCGGAUCGUAAAGCUCUGUUGUAAGAGAAGAACGGGUGUGAGAGUGGAAAGUUCACACUGUGACGGUAUCUUACCAGAAAGGGACGGCUAACUACGUG